rnacentral:ncRNA from 2 species
UACGACCCCGUGGGAGAGACCGGCCCCACAGGCCGGCGCCGAAGGCGCAACCCGCCCGGAAUCGCUCAGGCAAAAGGACCGCGGGGACAUU